AAUGGUUUGGAGACCAGUGUGAAAUUUAUCCCUGUUGAAGUCCUCCUACAUUUAUUCAAGGCCUUGGUUAAAACCCACCUGAUGCCCACCUGUCUUGAGAAUUUACAAUAUUAUUACUAAAAAUGAGUACUAAUGCUACUGGUAUAUUAAUUCAGUUGAGGACUAUAGAUCUCAUAAUCUCCAUUUUAUGGGUGAGAAAACUGAAGAACGGAGAGGCUAUCUAACACCCAAGUGGCUGAGCCAGGAUUCUAAAUUCACAGCUCAGUAUGUAACUGCCAACUUGAGCCUCUCAUCUAGACUGGAGGAUUAGGUUAGACUGAAGUAUGUUAUUCCAGUAUACAAUUUUCAUGAGUUAGUCAAUACAGAGUCAAUACGAAAAUUCUAACACAGUAUUAUAUAGGCUAAGAAAUUUUGUUGAUUGCUGCCAGUUCAGCAAAUGCUGAGAAAAAUUCUGCAUCCUAAAAAAUAUCAUUUAAGUUAAGUGAAUUACCUAUCCUCUUACACCGAGCUCUCCCUGUUACUUAAUGUCCAGCAACUUAAUGGGAAACAUCUUUGGAAAAGUUUUAUCAUGACUGUGGCACAUCAUUUAUGCACUGGGAAACUACUCCUCCCUUUGGAAGAUGGAACCAGAAGAGGAAACCGCCCUACACCUGUAGCUGACCUUUGCAAUAGGUUGUUAUGGGCGACUCUGAUAAGCAAAAAGGAGGCGUGGAGUAGAUGGAAGUAA
rnacentral:lncRNA from 1 species